GUCGCCUCCUAAAGUGUAACGGAGGCGCCCAAAGGUUCCCUCAGAAUGGUUGGAAAUCAUUCGAAGAGUGUAAAGGCAGAAGGGAGCUUGACUGCGAGACCUACAAGUCGAGCAGGGACGAAAGUCGGGCUUAGUGAUCCGGUGGUUCCGCAUGGAAGGGCCAUCGCUCAACGGAUAAAAGCUACCCUGGGGAUAACAGGCUUAUCUCCCCCAAGAGUUCACAUCGACGGGGAGGUUUGGCACCUCGAUGUCGGCUCAUCGCAUCCUGGGGCUGAAGUCGGUCCCAAGGGUUGGGCUGUUC
rnacentral:rRNA from 1 species